UUUAACCUGUGUUUGGACUUUGUACUCUGCCUUGUUGGAAUUACCCUUUUGUUUGGACUCUCACCUUGAGAUAAGUAGUAAGCCUGUUUUGUUUGGUUGAAAUAAAUCUUUAUUUGAACUGCAACCUCCUCGUCAGUGCAUUUUGGAUCCACAUUCCUGUUUCCCUGUCGUUAUACUCAGCCUACCUGAUACCUUCAGCAAUCCAAAACAGCAUUGCAAGGGGCAGACAGGGCACUACGGAAACUUAAGAGUGGACCCACACCCUGCUGGUUGAAAGAAUGCAGGUUGCAUUGGCUUCACUUUUCAAACACAGAGGUUCCCACUUACAUGGAAGUUUGGGUUACAAGAUUGCAGAAGAGGUCAUGUGUUGCAAGCUGAUUUCCACAGGAAACAAUAAUAAAACUACAGGAGAGAGCCUGCCUAGGAGGUCUGCUCCCCACCUUUGCUGCAUACAGUUGUGGCGAAGCACUGCUUUCCCUGAGUCAUCUUACUGUUUGCCAAAAUUGUUUUGAGGGCAACUAAAGGGCUCUCUCUUUGGCUUCCUACCACACCACAGCUUUUGCUUCUUCUGCCAUAGAGGUAGCAGUUCUAAAGACUGAGUGACACUCAGCCCAUUUAUAAACUUAAAACAGUACCUUUUUUAAAUGCACAAAGGGCAGUCAUAAUGCUACAGCCAAACACCCACUAUCAAUUCCUCUGCCAGAGAAGCCCAUUCAGCUACUGUUGAAUAGGACACACUGAGCAGUUCUCAGUCAAACCAUUUCUAUAGUCAGUCAGUUCUAUAGUUAGCCAUGGCAUUGAGGACCAUGAAGUGAAACAAAAGUAACACUGCUACAUCUUUACUUAAUGUUAUCUGAGAUUAUUGUAACACCACAUUUAGAAAGGUACAAUAAAUGCAAAUCAACAUUAGGUAUGUGCCGGUCAAGCAAAAAUUAUGCCGGCUAAUGUUUACUCAACUCACUUCUGUGAGACUCAACUCACUUCUGUGAGACGCAACUCCAGACAGAAACACUUGGCUAGGGAAGGGUUGGUUGCCCUAUACUGUGUAGAUGUCCAUUAGCUGUGAUCAGCAGGGAGGAGCCAGAUUGACCUGAUUUAAUUGGAGCAGUGGUAUACAUAGAUUCUCUGAGGGACAGUGCCUAACACGAAAAAAGGAACAUCUUUUCCACAGUUCUAGGGUCAAGGCUCAAUUUUGCCCAAAGGUCAUAUGACAACACCAAUAAAGCAAAGCAGAGAGUUCAGCAGUGCACCAGGACUGAUCAGAGGGGCACUUAGGGGGGGUACUUACUGGGGAACAAGGGCUGUAUACAAAGUGUCACGACCUUGGAUUUGAGUGUGGUGUUUUUCUGUUAUCUUGUUAAAUGUCCUUUCUGUUUUACCCAUUGCCUCUGUGUUCUUGUUUAGGUUUUGUUAGUUGAGCAUUGCUUCCUUGUUUUCUGUUGCAUUUAGUUACAUUUUUCCUUGUGUAUUGUCUGUAGCUUUACUUCCUGUUUUGAUGGUGAUGGUGAUUGGUGUUUUUGUCUAGCUUUGUUUCCUGUCUACCUUGAUUCUUAAUGCGUCUCACCUUUGUUUAAUUGCCCUGUCUGCUUGUGUGUGUGGUGUGCCCCUGUAUAUAUUAGCCUCAGUUGUGUUCAGUCCUUGUGGUGUCAUCUUCGUAUGUUGAGUGUUCUGACUCGUGCGCUGUUUCUCUGGAUUCUCUUGGCCUUUUGUUGGAUUUUACCUGUGUUUGAACUCUAUGUGACUCUAUGUAUUCCAAUAAACAUGCAAACUGAUCCAGCCUUGUUUAAUGUCUGCAUUUGAUACCACACCUCUGCUUCCCUUCCGUUGCACUCAGCCUUCCUGAUAGUAUGACACCACCAAAAACUAUGGACCAAGCAGAUACUGUGGUGAAUGAACUGGACCUUUUGCUUUUCGAUUUAAUGUGGUUAAAGGACGAAUGGAGGAAUGCUAACUGUGUUAAGUCCUGGCAAGCAGCCCUGUUGAAAGCACACCGGGAGGUAGUCUUCAAGCCCUGGCUGCGGGGUCAAUUACCACCCGACACCUUGCCUGUUAGCCUCCAGCCAGUUAGCUACCGGCCAGCUUCCCGGCCUGCUAGCAACCAGCUAAUCAGAUUCCACCAGUCUGCCAACAUGCCCGUUUCCCGGCCUGCUUGUGCUCCAGCGGCUAGCCACUAUCCUGAUUCCCAGCCUUCCAGCACUCCAGCAGCUAGCCACCUGCCUGUUUUCUGCCCGGCCAGCUCCACAAUGAUCCACCACUCCUAUGUCGGAACCAGUCUGGCCAUUCAGCCUGGGUCCCUUGGUGGUCACAGGAGUAGACAUGGCCAUCAAGGCUGCCGAGGUCAGCAGCAGCCUCAACCAACCCUUGCCCCAGAGUCUCUACGGCCCAGCCCUACAGCAUCACAGUUGGCUAACCCGCAAGAGUAUUGCCCGGCGCCAGUGGGGUGGUUCUUAUCCAGGCAGAUUCUCAGUCGGCGGACCGACCAACACCAGCUCUGUUGGUGGUCCAGCUGACUUCUGCUCCUUGUACCCUGUCGGAGGACUGAUCGACAUCAGCUCCGUUGAUGGUCCAGCCGACGCCUGUUCCCAGAGUCCAGUCCGUGGUCCGGCCGACUUUUUAGGGACGUCUGGUAUCCAUCCCUUAAGCGUGGGGGGGUUGUGUCACGACUUUGGAUUUGAGUGUGGUGUUUUUCUGUUAUUUUGUUAAAUGUCCUUUCUGUUUUACCCAUUGCCUCUGUGUUCUUGUUUAGGUUUUGUUAACUGAGCAUUGCUUCCUUGUUUUCUGUUGCAUUUAGUUACAUUUAUCCUUGUGUAUUGUCUGUAGCUUUACUUCCUUUUUUAUUUUGUAAUUUUGGUUAUUGGUGUUUUCGUCUAGCUUUGUUUCCUGUCUACCUUGAUUCUUAAAGUGUGUGUGUCUCAAUUGUGUUCAGUCCUUGUGGUGUCAUCUUAUGUUGAGGGUUCUGCCUCAUGCACUGUUUCUUUAGAUUAUUCCCUUAGGUUUGGAAUACCUUGGCCUUUUGUUGGAUUUUACCAUUGUUUGGACUCGGUACUCUGCCUUUCUUGGACUUUACUCUUGAGUUUGGACUACCUUGC